rnacentral:rRNA from 1 species
GACGUAGGGCGCGAGCGUUGUCCGGAUUUAUUGGGCGUAAAGAGCUCGUAGGCGACUUGUCGCGUCGUCCGUGAAACCAGGGCUCAACCCCUGGCUUGCGGUCGAUACGGGCAGGCUAGAGUUCGGUAGGGAGACUGGAAUUCCUGGUGUAGCGGUGAAAUGCGCAGAUAUCAGGAGGAACACCGGUGGCGAAGGCGGGUCUCUGGCCGUAACUGACGCUGAGGAGCGAAAGCGUGGGAGCGAACAGG